CCUUCACUACGUUCUGUUGGCACUAAUCCUGAGAAAACUCGUAAUACAAGUUUAAUACAAUCUGUAUUUAUUUAGUAGAGCAAAACCCGCUGAUAAUGCUAUUCAUUUAUUUAAAAAAAGAUAAACAAGACAACGAAAACAAUCUUCUUGUUAAAACCUAAGUCCUGUUUGUAUAACAUUAAAAAGCUGCCUUUUGAUACACUAGUGUUAGUGAGUGCAUCAGGUACUUCUGCAAUACAAAUAUGAAGUUAAGUUUGGAAUAUUAAGGGUCUCUUUCUAGAAGCUCUACACCAGGACGUCUCCCGUCUCCUACAGCUAUGGUUCCACAAACAGCAAUUCCCCACAUGGUCAGGAGACCCAAAGGUUCAGUGGACGUCCUCCGAUCCCACGACCAAGCCAGCUUCCUUUUUCACCCAGGAACUCGAGAGCAGAUGUCAGCAAGCUACCGACCUCUGGAGGACAAAGGCCAGCCCUGCAGAUGUCCGCCUUUGAGCUCACUGGGUGCCUGGCUAGCAGGGUUCGCUUUAGAGCAAUGAGGAGAAACAGUUUUGCCUCCCUUAAACCACGGGAGUGCUAGAGUCAAUGUGAUGCUCCCUUAAGAGUCCCCAGCGAAGACUGGCCUACUUCGCAUAGCCAGGACACGAACCUGAGCUGUAUGAUAACUCCAGUUGUCAAUUAGUGACACACAGUCAUUUUUUAUUGUCAAUUAGAGUUGCCAAAAAAAAAAAUUGCUUAAAAAAUUGCUUGUGUAUCUCCGGCAUUACACACACAAACACCCCCAAUAAUUUACCUACAGAAAUAAGCAAUUCAAAUAUUUAAUUUAAGGGCUUGUAAGUAAGGUCAUCCUUGACAGCAAUUUAGUAGGGUAUGAAUUAUUACAGUUAACUUUAUCUAUGUUGUCUAGGUUCACAUUGAAUAUCAUUUUUGGUAUCACACAUCAAAUCCUGGUUAUUUUUCUUCAAAACUAAAAUAAGUUUAAAGCUGCCCUGUGGUAUUAGCAGUGCUCUCAAACAUGUAUUGUCUCUAAGUGCAGCUGGUAGCAUAACAAAGCAUAGCCAUUAGCCCACGACCUGUUCCCCAGCACUACCGUGCCCCCAGUGGCUAUAAGAAACACAUCAGUAAGAUAUACCACAUUGAACAAAUUUGGUAUUUCUUACAUCCACAAGGGUUAUUGUAGGAAGACAGGUUAAUGGUUACACUAUGGUGUACCAGGAUGUGAUGACUAAAGCAGACUUCUAUUGACUGGAUACAAUAAUGUGCUGUUAAAAAAAUAAAAACAAGGGUGUGGUGGUUUCAGUCUAUUUUAAAAGUUUGUGAACCUGUUAAUGCUUUCAGAUUGGAGGGUUAACAAUGGAAUGGCAAGAAAUGCAAAAGAUACUCAGAUCAGACCCAAGACAACAAAAAAAAGAUCUGAUGAAAAAGUUGCCUUUCUAUUCAGAAGAACAGUCAUCCUUUAGUAUAUUAACCUAAAGGUAAUUUAAUAUAUAAAGUUCAUUCAAUCAUUCAGUAGAGUAUUUGAGAACAUUUGAUGAGAGGGAUUUAUUAUUAGAUUGUCAGUGAUAUUACUGGCAUCUGUGAUUUUAGUCACCAAAUGUUUGGAAGAGUGUCAUAAGAAUAUCAAUGGAGUUAUAAAUCAUUUGCAUUGCGAAAGCACUUGAGUUUUCCAUCACACAGAGCUAAUGCCAGUCUUUUGAGUGUCCCAGCAUUGCAUCCAUGCAUGAAGCUCAGUAUUCCUGCAGGCUCUUCAUGCACUCAUAAUUGAGGCACUGAACCUUUCAAUGGGCCCUAUUCACAAAACUGUUUAAAGAAAAACAUUUCAGCCUGUCUUUGGAAGAUUUCUUAGGUUCCAUAUGCCACUGGGACUUGACAGGGAUUUGAAAUCAGACUCAUUCAUUUUCAUCAGCAGCUGAUCAAGAUUGGUUACAACUGGAAGCCCCCAGGUAGUAAAGAUCAGUAACUGAGGCCUGUUCGCCACUCACCUGCAGCAAUGUAUUUGACUGUUCCAGCUCCAACAGUAAAGCCCAGUGACUGAGGCCUGUACUCCACUCACUUGCAGCAGUGUUUGUUUGUUCCAACUCCAACAGGAAAGCCCAGUGACUGAGGGCUGUACUCCACUCACUUGCAGCAGUGUUUGUUUGUUCCAACUCCAACAGGAAAACUUAGUGACUCAGACCUCGACCUCUCCAGGUGCUAUACUUAUCAAUCAUGCGUAAAAACAUUACUUAACUUGUUCAUGCACACAAAGCUCAGAAUGUUCACACGCACAAUUAAAUUCUGAUUUAUCAAUCUUGCGUAAGACACAUACGCACGUUUCUAAGUAAUACGUGGUAGUAAAUCUCAGUGUCACUAAAAUUGUUUGCACGUGGAAGUUUGCAUUUAACGCCCCUGUAUAGCCUUAUAUGGUAAAUGUAGCUGUCUGUUAUGGCUCAGUUUUCUCCACGAGUGCCCACACUGCUGUUUUGAAGAAUAAAUUAAUCGUGAGUUCUGCCUGGCCAUUUAGCCCCAGCAUUUAGUAGACGGAGUUGGGUGUCACACAUAACCUGCACAUGAAUAGAGUGGUACUGUCUCCUGUUCACGAAAUUCAAUUAAUUCAAUGUUGGUGCUUUAAUUGCUAUAUGGGUGCAGUCUAUAACACCAACGGUAUUGGGGAACCCAGCAAUUAAAUGAAAAUCCAUUUAUAUUUCAAUCUGCUGUCCAUCAGUAUAAGGAAACUGAAUGUACUGAGAACAAAUGGCAGUGAUGGUGUCCAAAACCACUGGCAUCAGUGCACUAAAGAGACUUGUGAAAUGCCAAUUAUGUCUCCGAUCUGUCUUUGAAAGGUACCAGUGGCCAAAAAGCCAAAAGUAGACAGGACUUGUAUAAACUACAAAGGAAGGGGAGAGAAAUCAACAAAAAAUUUAAAAAAAAACAGAAGGGAGACAUCAAAACAAGGGCAACAACUCAGGUAAGAUAGCCAUUAAAAAUGUUAGAACUUGAAACUACUGCACUAACAAGUAACUACGAUGUGAUAGGUGUUACAGAAACUUGGUUAUCCGAGAGGAAUGGAGACUAAUAUAAUAUUAGUGGGUAUACAAUGUAUAGGAAAGACAGAAGAGGCAGAGGGGUAGCGCUAUACAUCAAAAAUAAGCCCAGGUGUUAAAUCUGGAAGAAAAAAACAACGCAGAAUCAAUGAGUCAGAAUAAUGGACAAAAAUUCAAAGGGCAUAAUAAUAGGGGCAUGCUAUAGACCACCAAAUUCAGACACCGAGCAAAAUAAUCUGUUAUCAAUGAUAUUAGAAAUGUGUGUAGAAAAGGAGAAGCCAUGCUAAUGGGGGAUUUCAACUUCCCCCAUAUAAAAUGGGAAAAUCUGGUGGGAAGCAUGA